UUUUUCUCUUUCUCGUUAACAUUAGAAGAUGAUCUUUUGGAAUACUCACCUUGUUUAUGACUUUUUCGGGAUCCAGCAUGUUCAUUUUCAGAACCAGCAACAUUUUCUCCUUCAUUAAAUACGCUAGGUCCAGUGACAUUUUCAGCUCCAGUAAAUGAAGUAGGUUCGGUGAAAUCUUCAGCUGUAGCAAAUCCACGCUAGGUCCAGUGACAUUUUCAGCUCCAGUAAAUGAACUAGGUUCGGUGAAAUCUUCAGUUGUAGCAAAUCCACCUUGUCCAGUGGCAUUUUCAGCUUCUUCAGUACCA
rnacentral:lncRNA from 1 species